GACGAACGCUGGCGGCAUGCCUAAUACAUGCAAGUCGAGCGAACAGAUGAAGUGCUUGCACUUCUGACGUUAGCGGCGAACGGGUGAGUAACACGUAAGGAAUCUACCUAUAAGCGGGGGAUAACAUUCGGAAACGGGUGCUAAUACCGCAUAAUAUCUUCUUCCGCAUGGAAGAAGAUUGAAAGACGGCUCUGCUGUCACUUAUAGAUGACCUUGCGGUGCAUUAGGUAGUUGGUGGGGUAAUGGCCUACCAAGACGAUGAUGCAUAGCCGACCUGGGAGGGUGAUCGGCCACAUUGGGACUGAGACACGGCCCAAACUCCUACGGGAGGCAGCAGUAGGGAAUCGUCCGCAAUGGGCGAAAGCCUGACGGAGCAAUGCCGCGUGAGUGAAGAAGGCCUUCGGGUCGUAAAACUCUGUUAUAAGAGAAGAGCAAAUUGUAGAGUAACUGCUACAGUCUUGACGGUAUCUUAUCAGAAAGCCACGGCUAACUACGUGCCAGCAGCCGCGGUAA
rnacentral:rRNA from 1 species